UGUUCUGUGGGUUAGUUGGUUAAAGCGUCGGUUCAGCGAAUACGGAGUUGUGGGUUCGAAUCCCACCAGAAUGC
rfam:Aedes albopictus isolate Foshan contig138930, whole genome shotgun sequence.